GUGCCCAGCUCCCCCACGAGGUGUUCGAUCAAUUGACCAAUCCGAGCCAAGUCCGCCUCUCUUGCCUAGGCAUGGACAAUGGUCAUGUACUUUCCUUCAUCAAGUACCAGAAGCGAAGCUGAAGGAGAGGAAGAGGCCACAUAAGGAUUAUUGUGUCCCAAAUGGAAAUUUUGCUAGUGGAGAUGAAUGAUUGUUCUAAAUUGACGGAUGAAGCUAUGUGUUCUUUGAGUGGGCUUUUAUAUGUUUGCACAAUUUUUGCUCUUCAAACUUAAGCUUCAUGUAUGACAGAUUGUCAUUGAAAAUAGAUAAACUGUUCUCAAAGAAGUAUUAUACUAGAUUUACUGUCUUGUAAACUAAGCUUAUGUCUGUUUCAAAUUGACGUUUCACUAAUGUGGGAUUUUUGUUUGGUGUCAAGACCUGGACGUGUGAUUCAACGCUUUGUUGUUGUGAACCA